rnacentral:tRNA from 1 species
CCCUAAAACGUUCUACAGACA